rnacentral:rRNA from 1 species
UGGGAGCACGCUUAGGCGUGUGACUGCGUACCUUUUGUAUAAUGGGUCAGCGACUUAUAUUCUGUAGCAAGGUUAACCGAAUAGGGGAGCCGAAGGGAAACCGAGUCUUAACUGGGCGUUAAGUUGCAGGGUAUAGACCCGAAACCCGGUGAUCUAGCCAUGGGCAGGUUGAAGGUUGGGUAACACUAACUGGAGGACCGAACCGACUAAUGUUGAAAAAUUAGCGGAUGACUUGUGGCUGGGGGUGAAAGGCCAAUCAAACCGGGAGAUAGCUGGUUCUCCCCGAAAGCUAUUUAGGUAGCGCCUCGUGAAUUCAUCUCCGGGGGUAGAGCACUGUUUCGGCAAGGGGGUCAUCCCGACUUACCAACCCGAUGCAAACUGCGAAUACCGGAGAAUGUUAUCACGGGAGACACACGGCGGGUGCUAACGUCCGUCGUGAAGAGGGAAACAACCCAGACCGCCAGCUAAGGUCCCAAAGUCAUGGUUAAGUGGGAAACGAUGUGGGAAGGCCCAGACAGCCAGGAUGUUGGCUUAGAAGCAGCCAUCAUUUAAAGAAAGCGUAAUAGCUCACUGGUCGAGUCGGCCUGCGCGGAAGAUGUAACGGGGCUAAACCAUGCACCGAAGCUGCGGCAGCGACGCUUAUGCGUUGUUGGGUAGGGGAGCGUUCUGUAAGCCUGUGAAGGUGUGCUGUGAGGCAUGCUGGAGGUAUCAGAAGUGCGAAUGCUGACAUAAGUAACGAUAAAGCGGGUGAAAAGCCCGCUCGCCGGAAGACCAAGGGUUCCUGUCCAACGUUAAUCGGGGCAGGGUGAGUCGACCCCUAAGGCGAGGCCGAAAGGCGUAGUCGAUGGGAAACAGGUUAAUAUUCCUGUACUUGGUGUUACUGCGAAGGGGGGACGGAGAAGGCUAUGUUGGCCGGGCGACGGUUGUCCCGGUUUAAGCGUGUAGGCUGGUUUUCCAGGCAAAUCCGGAAAAUCAAGGCUGAGGCGUGAUGACGAGGCACUACGGUGCUGAAGCAACAAAUGCCCUGCUUCCAGGAAAAGCCUCUAAGCAUCAGGUAACAUCAAAUCGUACCCCAAACCGACACAGGUGGUCAGGUAGAGAAUACCAAGGCGCUUGAGAGAACUCGGGUGAAGGAACUAGGCAAAAUGGUGCCGUAACUUCGGGAGAAGGCACGCUGAUAUGUAGGUGAAGUCCCUCGCGGAUGGAGCUGAAAUCAGUCGAAGAUACCAGCUGGCUGCAACUGUUUAUUAAAAACACAGCACUGUGCAAACACGAAAGUGGACGUAUACGGUGUGACGCCUGCCCGGUGCCGGAAGGUUAAUUGAUGGGGUCAGCGCAAGCGAAGCUCUUGAUCGAAGCCCCGGUAAACGGCGGCCGUAACUAUAACGGUCCUAAGGUAGCGAAAUUCCUUGUCGGGUAAGUUCCGACCUGCACGAAUGGCGUAAUGAUGGCCAGGCUGUCUCCACCCGAGACUCAGUGAAAUUGAACUCGCUGUGAAGAUGCAGUGUACCCGCGGCAAGACGGAAAGACCCCGUGAACCUUUACUAUAGCUUGACACUGAACAUUGAGCCUUGAUGUGUAGGAUAGGUGGGAGGCUUAGAAGUGUGGACGCCAGUCUGCAUGGAGCCGACCUUGAAAUACCACCCUUUAAUGUUUGAUGUUCUAACGUUGACCCGUAAUCCGGGUUGCGGACAGUGUCUGGUGGGUAGUUUGACUGGGGCGGUCUCCUCCUAAAGAGUAACGGAGGAGCACGAAGGUUGGCUAAUCCUGGUCGGACAUCAGGAGGUUAGUGCAAUGGCAUAAGCCAGCUUGACUGCGAGCGUGACGGCGCGAGCAGGUGCGAAAGCAGGUCAUAGUGAUCCGGUGGUUCUGAAUGGAAGGGCCAUCGCUCAACGGAUAAAAGGUACUCCGGGGAUAACAGGCUGAUACCGCCCAAGAGUUCAUAUCGACGGCGGUGUUUGGCACCUCGAUGUCGGCUCAUCACAUCCUGGGGCUGAAGUAGGUCCCAAGGGUAUGGCUGUUCGCCAUUUAAAGUGGUACGCGAGCUGGGUUUAGAACGUCGUGAGACAGUUCGGUCCCUAUCUGCCGUGGGCGCUGGAGAACUGAGGGGGGCUGCUCCUAGUACGAGAGGACCGGAGUGGACGCAUCACUGGUGUUCGGGUUGUCAUGCCAAUGGCACUGCCCGGUAGCUAAAUGCGGAAGAGAUAAGUGCUGAAAGCAUCUAAGCACGAAACUUGCC